rnacentral:rRNA from 1 species
GACGAACGCUGGCGGCGUGCUUAACACAUGCAAGUCGAACGGAAAGGCCCUGCUUUUGUGGGGUGCUCGAGUGGCGAACGGGUGAGUAACACGUGAGUAACCUGCCCUUGACUUUGGGAUAACUUCAGGAAACUGGGGCUAAUACCGGAUAGGAGCUCCUGCUGCAUGGUGGGGGUUGGAAAGUUUCGGCGGUUGGGGAUGGACUCGCGGCUUAUCAGCUUGUUGGUGGGGUAGUGGCUUACCAAGGCUUUGACGGGUAGCCGGCCUGAGAGGGUGACCGGCCACAUUGGGACUGAGAUACGGCCCAGACUCCUACGGGCGGCAGCAGUGGGGAAUAUUGCACACUGGGCGGAAGCCUGAUGCAGCAACGCCGCGUGCCGGAUGACGGCCUUCGGGUUGUAAACCGCUUUCGCCUGUGACGAAGCGUGAGUGACGGUAAUGGGUAAAGAAGCACCGGCUAACUACGUG